CAGUCGCCACGGUAAUACAGAGGGUGCGAGCGUUAAUCGGAUUUACUGGGCGUAAAGCGUGCGUAGGCGGCUUCUUAAGUCGGAUGUGAAAUCCCUGAGCUUAACUUAGGAAUUGUAUUCGAUACUGGGAAGCUAGAGUAUGGGAGAGGAUGGUAGAAUUCCAGGUGUAGCGGUGAAAUGCGUAGAGAUCUGGAGGAAUACCGAUGGCGAAGGCAGCCAUCUGGCCUAAUACUGACGCUGAGGUACGAAAGCAUGGGGAGCAAACAGGAUUAGAUACCCCCGUAGUCCCUGUCUCUUAUAA
rnacentral:rRNA from 1 species